GCCAGGCUGGCUCAGUCAGCAGAGCGUGCAACUCCCGAUCUCAGGGUCAUGAGUUCGAGCCUCACCUUGUAUGUAG
rnacentral:tRNA from 1 species